UACGAAGGGUGCAAACGUUGCUCGGAAUCAUUGGGCGUAAAGCGCACGUAGGCGGCGUUCUAAGUCGGAUGUGAAAUCCCUCGGCUCAACCGAGGACGUGCAUCCGAAACUGGAUUGCUCGAGUAUGGAAGAGGGUCGCGGAAUUCUCGGUGUAGAGGUGAAAUUCGUAGAUAUCGGGAGGAACACCAGUGGCGAAGGCGGCGACCUGGGCCAAUACUGACGCUGAGGUGCGAAAGCGUGGGGAGCAAACAGG
rnacentral:rRNA from 1 species